rnacentral:rRNA from 1 species
AACGUAGGAGACAAACGUUAUCCGGAGUUACUGGGCGUAAAGGGCGUGCAGGCGGUUUCUUAAGUUCGUCGUGAAAUCGCCCGGCUUAACCGGGCGGGGUCGAUGGAUACUGGGAGACUUGAGGGCGGUAGGGGCGUGUGGAAUUCCGGGUGUAGUGGUGAAAUGCGCAGAUAUCAGGAGGAACACCGGUGGCGAAGGCGGCACUCUGGGCCGGUACUGACGCUGAGGAGCGAAAGCGUGGGGAGCGAACAGG